AAAAGCGAUCCCCAACAAUAUUGUUCUCAAUCUCGUUAUAGUUUUAUCAUAUUAACGAGAACAAUAUUUUUUUAUAUAGUUAUCGUUUUUGGUGUGAAUGGCCCUUUAUAUAUGUAUUCUUCAGUUAUUUAGCUGUAUUUUCUGACGUUUUCAAAGUUCAAGGACAAUGCUUAAAGUUGUUCCCCAGGUUUUAUGAAACUUUAAGUUUAACUUUAAGUUUAAUUUCCAGGGUUUUUUUACAUUUAUGGUUAAUUAAUAUUAUUAUUAUUAUUGUCAUUUUAAGGUUGCCGGAAAUGUAGUAGGCAAAAAGUUUUCAAAUAUGACUCCAUAACAGGACGAAGGAUAAAUGAGGGGCAAGAGGAAGUAAGGGUGAAAUGGUUACCUUGCUCUGCAUGGUUUUAGGUCCAGCGUCAAUGCAGCCUUCUACCUGGAGAUUUUAGAGCAUGGUUCCAUCUGCUGACGAGCUUUACGCACAUGCUGAUAUCCUUUUCCAGCAGGACUCUGCCCCUGCCACAGUGCGAAAACUGCUAGUAACUGGGUUGCUUAGCAUGGUAUUGCUGUGCUUAACUCGUCUCACCUGAACCCCAUAGAGAGGACAAUGAUAGAAACCAAACCCAACAUUAGAGACAACUUCAAGGUCACUAUCAAAGCAACAUGGGCUUUUAUAACACCUCAGCAAUGCCAUACACUGAUGGCCUCCACACCACACCACACCGAUGCAGGAAUUUGUGCAAAAGCAGCCACACCAAGUAUAGAGUGUAUGCAUUAACAAUUUUUGAUAAGUCAGAUUUGUUAAUUUAUUUUUGAAAGGUCGACAUUUCUGUAUUCCUCUUUAUUAUAAUGUAGUGAGUUGAUUGAUUUUUUAACUUUUAAAUUUUUUUUUCAUGAGCUUUAAUCAAGAUUAAAUCAACACAAAUUGCUUCAAAUGUUGCACAAUAUUGUAAUUGUAGACCCAUAGGGUAUAUACCAAUAUACCAAUUGGUAUAGGGUGGAUUAAAUGCAGUGUCAAAUAUUGUCUACAGGAUUUAGCCACUUGCUCUUUUCAGUACUAUGCAUAAUUCCCCCGGUGUAAUGUCUAUGUAGGAAGUAGACCUUCACCAAUAUAUUGGCAGAACAUCAGUAUCGGCCAAGCUCAUCCUUGUUGACUGAUGUCAGCUAUUGACUUUCUAUGACUUUAUCUAUGAGAGUGGCUGAUGUUUAUCUGUUACAUUUCAUCAAGGACUAUAUAUGUAUAGGUUUUAUAAAAACAAUGAAAUACAAGACCGUACAAUAUUUUUUGAAAAUAUUUAUGCUGUGAAA